AGAAGAAGAAGAAGAAGAAUAGGGAGAAGAGCAGUUUCAGGAGAGAAGAACCUGGAAUUUAGGGCCUGCAUUGCAUCGAACAAUCAUUGCAACUUCCCUUAACAGAUUUGAAUUGAUGCCCAAUGGAAAUCAAGCUCUAAUACCAUCUGUUACAAAGCAGUAUCCUCAAUUCCAGAGAAGACAAAAAUUAGGGAGAGAUAGAGAAAGA
rnacentral:misc_RNA from 1 species